UACGAAGGGGGCUAGCGUUGCUCGGAAUCACUGGGCGUAAAGCGCACGUAGGCGGCUUUUUAAGUCAGGGGUGAAAUCCUGGAGCUCAACUCCAGAACUGCCUUUGAUACUGAGAAGCUUGGAGUCCGGGAGAGGUGAGUGGAACUGCGAGUGUAGAGGUGAAAUUCGUAGAUAUUCGCAAGAACACCAGUGGCGAAGGCGGCUCACUGGCCCGGUACUGACGCUGAGGUGCGAAAGCGUGGGGAGCAAACAGG
rnacentral:rRNA from 1 species